rnacentral:rRNA from 1 species
UACGAAGGGUGCAAGCGUUACUCGGAAUUACUGGGCGUAAAGCGUGCGUAGGUGGUUUGUUAAGUCUGUUGUGAAAGCCCCGGGCUCAACCUGGGAAUGGCAAUGGAUACUGGCAAGCUAGAGUGCGGUAGAGGGUAGUGGAAUUCCCGGUGUAGCGGUGAAAUGCGUAGAGAUCAGGAAGAACACCGGUGGCGAAAGCGCUCUGCUAGGCCGCAACUGACACUGAGGGACGAAAGCUAGGGGAGCGAACAGG